rnacentral:rRNA from 1 species
AUUGAACGCUGGCGGCAUGCUUUACACAUGCAAGUCGAACGGCAGCGCGGGCUUCGGCCUGGCGGCGAGUGGCGAACGGGUGAGUAAUACAUCGGAACGUGCCCAGUAGUGGGGGAUAGCUCGGCGAAAGCCGGAUUAAUACCGCAUACGACCUGAGGGUGAAAGCGGGGGAUCUUCGGACCUCGCGCUCUUGGAGCGUCCGAUGGCAGAUUAGCUAGUUGGUGGGGUAAAGGCCUACCAAGGCGACGAUCUGUAGCUGGUCUGAGAGGACGACCAGCCACACUGGGACUGAGACACGGCCCAGACUCCUACGGGAGGCAGCAGUGGGGAAUUUUGGACAAUGGGCGAAAGCCUGAUCCAGCAAUGCCGCGUGUGUGAUGAAGGCCUUCGGGUUGUAAAGCACUUUUGGCGGGAACGAAAAGGACUGUGCCAAUACCACGGUUCGAUGACGGUACCCGAAGAAUAAGCACCGGCUAACUACGUG